rnacentral:rRNA from 1 species
GACGAACGCUGGCGGCACGCUUAACACAUGCAAGUCGAACGGAGAUAAUUUGAGUUUACUUAGAUUAUCUUAGUGGCGGACGGGUGAGUAACACGUGAGCAACCUACCUUUGAGAGAGGGAUAGCUUCUGGAAACGGAUGGUAAUACCUCAUAACGUAGUUUUACCGCAUGAUAGGACUACCAAAGAUUUAUCACUCAAAGAUGGGCUCGCGUCUGAUUAGCUAGAUGGUGAGGUAACGGCUCACCAUGGCGACGAUCAGUAGCCGGACUGAGAGGUUGAACGGCCACAUUGGGACUGAGACACGGCCCAGACUCCUACGGGAGGCAGCAGUGGGGAAUAUUGCACAAUGGGGGAAACCCUGAUGCAGCGAUGCCGCGUGGAGGAAGAAGGUUUUCGGAUUGUAAACUCCUGUCUUAAAGGACGAUAAUGACGGUACUUUAGGAGGAAGCUCCGGCUAACUACGUGCCAGCAGCCGCGGUAAACGUAGCGUG